CCUACGGGAGGCAGCAGUGGGGAAUUGUUCGCAAUGGGCGCAAGCCUGACGACGCAACGCCGCGUGGAGGAUGAAGACCUUCGGGUCGUAAACUCCUUUCGAUCGAGACGAAUGGCCUUCGGGUGAACAAUCCGGAGGAGUGACGGUACCCGCAGAAGAAGCCCCGGCUAACUUCGUGCCAGCAGCCGCGGUAAU
rnacentral:rRNA from 1 species